rnacentral:tRNA from 1 species
ACUCUGGUGGCACAAUGGUUAAGCAUUUGGCUGCUAAUCAAAAGGUGGGUGGUUCAAAGCCACCCAGUG